rnacentral:rRNA from 1 species
GGGACACGUGGUAUCCUGUCUGAAUAUGGGGGGACCAUCCUCCAAGGCUAAAUACUCCUGACUGACCGAUAGUGAACCAGUACCGUGAGGGAAAGGCGAAAAGAACCCCGGCGAGGGGAGUGAAAAAGAACCUGAAACCGUGUACGUACAAGCAGUGGGAGCACAGGUUUACCUGUGUGACUGCGUACCUUUUGUAUAAUGGGUCAGCGACUUAUAUUCUGUAGCAAGGUUAACCGUAUAGGGGAGCCGGAGGGAAACCGAGUCUUAAUUGGGCGUUAAGUUGCAGGGUAUAGACCCGAAACCCGGUGAUCUAGCCAUGGGCAGGUUGAAGGUUGGGUAACACUAACUGGAGGACCGAACCGACUAAUGUUGAAAAAUUAGCGGAUGACCUGUGGCUGGGGGUGAAAGGCCAAUCAAACCGGGAGAUAGCUGGUUCUCCCCGAAAGCUAUUUAGGUAGCGCCUCGUGAAUUCAUCUCCGGGGGUAGAGCACUGUUUCGGCUAGGGGGCCAUCCCGGCUUACCAACCCGAUGCAAACUGCGAAUACCGGAGAAUGUUAUCACGGGAGACACACGGCGGGUGCUAACGUCCGUCGUGAAGAGGGAAACAACCCAGACCGCCAGCUAAGGUCCCAAAGUCAUGGUUAAGUGGGAAACGAUGUGGGAAGGCCCAGACAGCCAGGAUGUUGGCUUAGAAGCAGCCAUCAUUUAAAGAAAGCGUAAUAGCUCACUGGUCGAGUCGGCCUGCGCGGAAGAUGUAACGGGGCUAAACCAUGCACCGAAGCUGCGGCAGCGACGCUUAUGCGUUGUUGGGUAGGGGAGCGUUCUGUAAGCCUGUGAAGGUGGCCUGUGAGGGUUGCUGGAGGUAUCAGAAGUGCGAAUGCUGACAUAAGUAACGAUAAAGCGGGUGAAAAGCCCGCUCGCCGGAAGACCAAGGGUUCCUGUCCAACGUUAAUCGGGGCAGGGUGAGUCGACCCCUAAGGCGAGGCCGAAAGGCGUAGUCGAUGGGAAACGGGUUAAUAUUCCCGUACUUGGUGUUACUGCGAAGGGGGGACGGAGAAGGCUAUGUUGGCCGGGCGACGGUUGUCCCGGUUUAAGCGUGUAGGUGUGUGUUCCAGGUAAAUCCGGUUCACUUUAACACUGAGGCGUGAUGACGAGGCACUACGGUGCUGAAGCAACAAAUGCCCUGCUUCCAGGAAAAGCCUCUAAGCAUCAGGUAACAUCAAAUCGUACCCCAAACCGACACAGGUGGUCAGGUAGAGAAUACCAAGGCGCUUGAGAGAACUCGGGUGAAGGAACUAGGCAAAAUGGUGCCGUAACUUCGGGAGAAGGCACGCUGACACGUAGGUGAAGUGAUUUACUCAUGGAGCUGAAGUCAGUCGAAGAUACCAGCUGGCUGCAACUGUUUAUUAAAAACACAGCACUGUGCAAACACGAAAGUGGACGUAUACGGUGUGACGCCUGCCCGGUGCCGGAAGGUUAAUUGAUGGGGUCAGCGCAAGCGAAGCUCCUGAUCGAAGCCCCGGUAAACGGCGGCCGUAACUAUAACGGUCCUAAGGUAGCGAAAUUCCUUGUCGGGUAAGUUCCGACCUGCACGAAUGGCGUAAUGAUGGCCAGGCUGUCUCCACCCGAGACUCAGUGAAAUUGAACUCGCUGUGAAGAUGCAGUGUACCCGCGGCAAGACGGAAAGACCCCGUGAACCUUUACUAUAGCUUGACACUGAACAUUGAGCCUUGAUGUGUAGGAUAGGUGGGAGGCUUUGAAGUGUGGACGCCAGUCUGC